CCUCGCUGUCGGCUUUGUUUGAAGGCCGCGUUUGAUCUAAGCGUCACUUUGCUGUGCGGGCUGAAUCUACAAGAAACUAGAUUUUUUUACUGCAAAGGCAAGAUGGCUAAGACUAAGGAGACUAAGAAACCAGAAACACCCAAGGCUGACAAACCCAAAAAGGGUAGGGGCCGACCAAAGGGGAGCACCAAAAAGGGAGGGGCGAAGAAAGGGGCCAAGAAGGCAGUUAAGCGUGCAGGAAAGAAGAAGUAAAUCCUGGUUUCAUGAGGGAACACUGCCACUAAGUGGACAUUAUGGAUCUGUUGACAUAUUGACCUUUUAUCCUUACCUAAGUAGUGCAUGUGAUUGAACAAAAAUAAUGCAGCCUCCUGAAGAUUUCUUUAAGAAUUGGAUAAAACAAGAUGCAACCUUCCUCAAGACUAUUUUUACUUAACUUUGGACAAAAAGAAGAAGCAGCUUUUGAAGACUCGAAGUUUGUACAAAAAAUGAGAAGCAACUACUGAGGCUAAAGAUUUCCUUAAAUGUUAAAAAAUAUGCAACUUUUAAAUAUCAUAUACUUCAAUUGUUUGACGCAAGUAAUUGGCAGCUAUUUCAGACAAAAUUUUAUGGUAUGCAUUAAUUGUUGAAUUAAUUUCAUAACUCAUAUUUUUUUAAAUGUUUGAAAAAGAAUACACCUUAUUUUACAUAACAAACAGUAAGCUUGGCAAGGAAGCAGGUCAAAUUCCUGUAUAUUCAUUCAAAAUUUAGUUUUGUUCACAAACAAGACAUUGCUUAUCACAUUCAGGGAUACUUUUGCUGUGUCAUGUACAAUUGUAUGCAUAUAUUCAUUACAUGUUUAAGAAUGUCAACAUUUUUUAAAACUGAUUUCCUUAAUUAAGACAUUUUAUUUUUUCAUACCGGUUUUAUUUAUGUACAUAAUCAUAUAUUUAAUUUUCUACAAUUUUUUUUAAUUCAUCGAAAAUACAUUUUUUAAACAAAACUUAUAUCUAUAGUUUUUUUUGAGAUUAUUUCUUCAUAUAAUUAUUAUCAAAUAAGGAUCUGGAAAAAAAUUGGACAAAAUAUAUACCAAUUAUAUUUUAUCUUCAUUUUAAUACUCAUUUGGUAACAGUUAACUGUCAUUCUCAUUGUAAUAUAAACAUUGAAUCAAACCUUUCUAGAAAGCAAUAAUACCGAAAUAAAUAUGUUGUAAAAAAGG